UCCCAUGGAUGAGCAAUGAAAGUGGUUUCUUGCAAUGGAAUCUACUCUUGGUGAAGAUGUUAUGAA
rnacentral:pre_miRNA from 1 species